UCUGAGCCAGGUAGGGGUGGGGCUUAACCUGAAGUAGAUUCCCAGCACCCUUAGCGUAUUUCUGAUUCCCUAACUGCGCAUGGCGCGGCGCAGGCGCAAUAGUCAUUCCUUGACUUCCGCGCGUUUCAGAAGGUAUAAAUAGAGAUGUCUUGGCACAACCAAGUCUUUUCGGAGAGGACUGUCGCUAUGCUGUGGUGGUCUUGUGUGUGCUGGAGAUUCCAAAUAACUUGAUUUGGGGUAAGUAAAUCUAUAAAUUGCUUUUGGCUUAUCAGUGUUUGCCUGUCAAUAUUUUGCAUAAAACAUUUACUCACUCUGAGCUCCCUUCCCUUUCAUGAAGAUGCUGCUGUUUAAUACAUCCAGAUAGAAACUUUGCUAAAAUUUUGUGGGCAUAUUGACAGUUUCUUAGAUGUAUACUCAGUGUUCUUGGAAGAUGGCUUUUUAUUCAGUUCAGUAAAACUGCUAAGGUAUUUAUCUCUAAUUAUCGUGUGAUAGAGAUUUCUAUUUUGCAAAUGAAAAAAUUGUGACAGUUUGGGUGGCAUAACCAAAGUCAGUUAGCAAAGCUUGCACAAAAGCCAUACGCUGUGUAUACCUCAAUCUGUGUAAGGGAGGUAAGGGUUCAGCAUUGUGUACAAUUCUUUUCACCAUAUUGGAGAUGAAGCUGUGCAUAUGUGUAUGCAUACUCCUACAACAAUGCAUAACAGGGAUGCAGUAGGUAAACCAUGAAAUAGUUAAUAGCAGUGACUGGUUUGGACUUUUAACAGGCUUUCCUCAAAUCUACAUGUAUAGUAUGGGAUGAGGAGAAAUGAAAUCUCUUAAAUGUUUUGAGGGUUAUAAUGCUGUUUAAUCAGAGGCAUUCCAACGUGGAUAUCCCGGGAGGUCACUCUCCCCGGGCUCUGUCCAGGUGGCGUAGGGGAGCAUAGGGCGCUGCCCCAUGAUGUACAGUCCUUUUCCACAACGUUGGAGAUGAAGCCGGGCCUUGAGUCUGCGCCUGCAUAUUCCUACAGCUUCUCAGAGUCCUACGGACAAUGACUGAGGAGACAAACCAUGCAGGAAACAUCUAGUAUAUUAAAGUUUAGAUUUUAAGUAAAAUGGUAAAUAUGAGUCUAAUCCCCUUUUUCUUUUUCAUUUUCAUUCAGGAGAGAAGAACCUCAUCAAACUUUUUGGCAGUUGAUGCUUAAUGCUUUUAGAUCCUUUAUUUGGCAGAGAGAGUUGGUAAAGUGAUUAAUAUACUAUUUUUGGAAGACAAGCAUGGACAAUAUGAAAAUCUUUUAAGUUUGGGAGCAUUUGGCUCCUUUAAAAACUGCCCCUUUAGAGUAAAUCAGAGGAGAACAGGAGGUUAAAAAGGCAAAUUCUAAUGUGUAGCCCCAGAACCAAACCUUAAGAACUGGUAGAGUACUAGUAUGUUCCAUUGGCCAGGUGCCCAUUGGAAUUUAUAAGGACUUCGAGAAGACACUGAGUAUGGGCAGGUCUGUUAAGACAGUGUGGUCUUUUGACCUAGGAGCCCCAGAGACCCUAAGACCCAUUCAGAGUGCCUGAGUUGAAAUCUUGUUGUAAUGAUAAAGAUAUUACUUGACCUUUUUUUACCUUUCUCAAGAAAAGUGGAUUUUAUAACUAUAUAACUGAACAGAAAGCAGAAGCCCAUGGGAAAGAUGUCUUUUAUUAUUUAAGAAAUCCAUGUCAGUUUCUAAUGUAUUUAUGAAUUAUAAUAAAGAUGAUUAUGCAUA